rnacentral:rRNA from 1 species
GCUUGCAAACUGAAGAUGGCGACCGGCGCACGGGUGAGUAACACGUAUCCAACCUGCCGAUAACUCCGGGAUAGCCUUUCGAAAGAAAGAUUAAUACCGGAUGGCAUACGAAUAUCGCAUGAUAUUUUUAUUAAAGAAUUUCGGUUAUCGAUGGGGAUGCGUUCCAUUAGUUUGUUGGCGGGGUAACGGCCCACCAAGACUACGAUGGAUAGGGGUUCUGAGAGGAAGGUCCCCCACAUUGGAACUGAGACACGGUCCAAACUCCUACGGGAGGCAGCAGUGAGGAAUAUUGGUCAAUGGGCGAGAGCCUGAACCAGCCAAGUAGCGUGAAGGAUGAAGGCUCUAUGGGUCGUAAACUUCUUUUAUAUGGGAAUAAAGUUUUCCACGUGUGGAAUUUUGUAUGUACCAUAUGAAUAAGGAUCGGCUAACUCCGUGCCAGCAGCCGCGGUAAUACGGAGGAUCCGAGCGUUAUCCGGAUUUAUUGGGUUUAAAGGGAGCGUAGGUGGAUUGUUAAGUCAGUUGUGAAAGUUUGCGGCUCAACCGUAAAAUUGCAGUUGAAACUGGGAGUCUUGAGUACAGUAGAGGUGGGCGGAAUUCGUGGUGUAGCGGUGAAAUGCUUAGAUAUCACGAAGAACUCCGAUUGCGAAGGCAGCU